CCUCACAUUCUCUUAAUUUAGUGGAAGGCAUCCCAAACAAAAUGUGAGACUUAAAACUAAUAGAAAGUUAUCUUAAAAAAUAUGAUGCAUUUUUAUUGUUUUUGAUGGCAUAUGACAUAUUUUAAAAAAUAUGACAUAUUUUAGAGUUUCAAAAUAGGAUCAAUCCUAAUAAAGUAUAACAAAUUAACAAUAAAUCUAAUAAACUCUAACAUACUAAUAGCAGCAUCCCAAUGGUCUUGGAGUGAAGUUUGCAUGAAUUGACUUAGAGUAUGAACUGAGUAGGUUAAUUCAUGUCUAGUGAUAGUUAAGUAAAUCAAACAUCUAACUAAUCUCCUAUAUCUUGAUGGUUUUAAGAAUGGAGGUCCCUUAGGCAAAGCAAGUUUGUGAUUUUGUUCCGUUGGAAACAAAAAAUACUUACAACCAAGCAUUGCACAUUCUUGUAGAAUGUCUAAGGUGUAUUUUCUUUUAAAUAGGAAUAUCCCUUCUGACCCUCAUGCUAGUUCCAGGCCUAGGAACUAUUUAAGCAAAAUAAGAUCCUUCAUGUGGAAACUUUGACUGAGACAUUGCUUGAACUGAUCACAUGUCUCAAGGUCAUUACUAGCAAUGAUCAAGUUAUCAACAUAGAUCAACACAACAAGAAAAAUUGAUCCAUGUGAAUAAGUAAAUAAACUAUGAUCAGACUGCUUGUCUUGGAAACCAUAUUUUUUAUCAAAGAUUGAGAUAACUCGCUAUACAAAUUUUUAGAUGUUUGUUUCAAGCCAUACAAUGACUUCUUUAAUCUGCAUACCAAAUCUUUGUUUGGAACUUUAUAUCCUUGUGGAUGACUCAUAUAUACUUCUUCUGUCAAUUCUCCAUGCAAGAAGGGAUUGUUAACAUCCAUUUGAUGUAAUUUUCAUCCUUUCGCCACCAUAACUAUUAACAAGCAUCUAUCUAUAGUCAUUUUGGCCACUAGCGGAAAUUUUUCAUUGAACUCCCCACCUUAUAUCUAUGUGUAACCUUUUGGAACUAAUCAUACCUUGUACUUUUCAAUCUCACCUGUAGCUUUAUGUUUAAUUUUGUACACCCAUCUACAUCCUAUCAAUUUUGUUCAUUGCGGUAAAUGAGUUAGUUCUCAUGUUCCAUUGUCUUCUAGGGCCUUGAUUUCUUGAGCCAUGGCCUCCCUCCGAACUGUGUCCUUGACUACUUGGGUAUAUGAUUUAGGUAAUUCGUCAUUGGUAAUAGCUGCAAGGCUCCUUAAUAGGUAAGCUUUCCAUAGGACCUGAUGUUUGGUCAUUAUGAAGAAUUUCCCCAAAGCUCUGUACUUCCAAUUCUGCAUCAUUAUAGAGUGAAAAUUCACCAUUAAGGUUAUCACUUGAUGAGUUAUUUCUAAAAUUAGUAGACCAAUUAUUGUCUUGUAUAUGGUAAAGAAAGAUAUGCUCAUAAAACACUAUAUCUCUCGAUAUGCAGCAUCCGCGAGUCUUUGGAUUGUAAACUUUCCAUCCUUUUUGUCCUUGUGGAUAACCAAUAAAAAUACUCCUUUCAGCUAUGGGGUCAAAUUUACGGAUCCCCUUGAGUCAUUUUUCUUGUAGCACAAGCAACCAAAAGUUCUCGAGUGCUCAUAGUUUGGUGCUCUCAUAAAAAGUAACUCGUAUGAAGUGACCCCCUUAUUUUCCAUUAUAGGGGUUCUAUUGAUUAGAUAUGAUGUUGUCAAUACACAAUCUCCCCAAAAACGCAAUAAGAGUUUGCUUGAAAAUUCAAGGCCCGUGCUAUGUUCAAAAUUUAUCUAUGUUUGUGUUCCACAUGUCCAUUCUGUUGAGGUGUGGUAACACAAGAAGUUUCAUACAUGAUCCCUUCUUUUUGAGUGAAUCACUUGAAAUAAGAGUUAGUAAACUUUGUCCUAUUGUCACUCAUAAUCCUCUUGAUAUGCAUAUUAAGCUGCCUUUUGAUUAGAUUGCUAAAAUUAAUAAAAUGUUGUAAAGUCUUUGUCUUGUGUUUCAUUAAAUAUACCCACGUGCCAUGAGUGUAGUCAUCUACGUUGAUUAGAAAGUAAUGUGAUCUGUUGUUUAUGGCAGUAUGAUAUUUCCCCCAUAAGUCACAGUGAAUCAAUUCAACAGGUGUUUCUGCUUUAUUAAUGCUUAAAGGGAAAAGGUUUCUACAUUAUUUUGCCUUGUGGCAUACAUCACAACAAUUUGCUCUAUCAAAUUGCAUUUGACUAAAUGUGAAAAAUAUUGAAGGACUUGAUUUGAGGAAUGUCCAAUUCUGAUUUGCCAUAAGGUUUCCAUGUCCUUCUUAGUUGCACCCAUGACGCCUUAUUGAUGAUGCUUUAUGAACACACACGCCCAUUCAUGUAGGUCACAUGAUCCAAUCUUCCUCUUCGAGGCUUGGUCUUGUAUUGUGCAAGAGUUUUGAUCAUAAAUCACAUAACAAUUUAAAUCAUAUGAUAGUUUAUGAAUUGAAAUCAGAUUGCAUUUAAAGUUAAGAACCAAUAACACAUCUUUUAACGUAAUGAGACUUGAUAAAUUCACAUCUCCCAUAUUUUCAACUAACUUUGAAAUCACUAUUGGUGUAGUUAUGUAGAAAGGUUUAUCUAAUUUUAUUAUUUUCUUUAAUAUCGAGGUCAAAUGAGUCAUGUGGUGUGAAUUACCACUAUCUAGUAUCCAAUUGAAACAAUGUUCAAAUUUACUAGUCACGUUUUCAUGUGCGUUUGCAUGACUUUUGGCACAAACUCUAGGCAGGACAUGUCCUGAUGUUGCUGCUUCUGGAUACUCUUUUCUCUCAUUGGCCUGAGAAAAAUUUGCUAUUUGUUUCCCUUAUGAUUUGUUAGGUUCUCGCAUUUGAGUUCUUCAUGAUUCCCUACUUACUGGAUAUCCAACAAUCUCAAAGCAUUGUGCCUUGACAUGUCCAGUUUUCCCACUGUGAUCACACUUUAAUCUUGAGUGAUAUUCCUUUCCUCUUUUCCUAUAUGCACCUAAGUAAAAAACAUAUGCAUUUUUCACCUUAGAAUCUCUUUCCUUAUCUGAUGCAAAACGAGAUUCUUCUCUUUGUAUUUGAUUAAAGACACGCCUAAGAGAGGGUAGUGGACCAAAAUUAGAUAUGGUUCCUUGAUAUGAGAGUAUUGUUCACUAUCAAAGCCUCCAAGAAAAAGAUGGACUCGUUGUUCUUCUUUCCUUUGUGUCAGUACUUUAGAAGCUCAACAACUGCAUUCAGGUAGGGUUUGCAAUUCACUCAAUUCAUCAACAAGACUUUUGAAUUGAGUGUAGUAAUCUAUUACACUUAUUUCUGGUUGUUUUUACAUUAAACACAAGUGUCUCCACAACUGAUGGAUUCACAGUGCAUUAGUCCGAGCAAAGCGUUCUUCAAGAUCCACCCACACACCUCGAGCCGUUGAAGUAUGUGAGAUGCUGCUGUGUAUAUUUGGUUUUGUCGCAUUGAUCAACCAAGUUGUCAUCGUUGAAUCUGCCUUCUUCUAGUCAUGGUACAUUUUAGAUUGUCUUGAUGGUUUCUUGACGCUUCCAUCAAUGAAAUCCAGUUUCGUCUUUGCACACAAAGCCAUCUUGAUCGAUAUUGUCCAUGUGCGGUAAUUUUCUCCAUUCAACAAUGUUGUCACGAGUGUAGUUCCAUGAUUAUCAGAGUUGUUUAGAUGAUAAGUUUGUGUGUUCUUUGUUUUAGGUUUGUAGGUAUUUUUCUUCUCCAAUAUCUCUUCCGAAUCAAAAUAGUGCUCGGAUUCAAGUAUAGAAAGUUAACUUGAAAAAUAUAUUGUAUUCUUAUUAUUUUUUAUGACGCAUGACAUACCUUUAUAUAUAGGCUCAUGAUCUAUUUUUCAAAUCUUAAAAAUAGGAUCAACCCUAACAAACUAAUAACAAACCUAACAAACUAAUAAUAAACUAUUAAUUUAUCUCUAAUAAAAAUAAUGUUCAAAAAAUAUUUCUUUUAUUUUUUAAAAGAUAUUUAGGAGUCUUUUGAUUAGUAUGAUGGCCAUUUUGUCACUAAAAGGUUUUUACAAUAAUAUUAUAAUUUAAUAUUCAUAAUAUAAAUAGUCUAUAUAAUAGUCAAUUAAUUAUUACCGGUUUGUCAUUAAAAAUAUUUAAUUUUAAUAUCAUUAAAAAUAAUUAUAUUGGAUUAAUCAAACACUAGAUACCAAGCUAUCCCAAUAAAAA